GACAGAGGGUGCAAACGUUGUUCGGAAUUACUGGGCGUAAAGCGCGCGUAGGCAGCAGCGUGUGUCGGGCGUGAAAUCCCACGGCUCAACCGUGGAAGUGCACUCGAAACUGCGCAGCUAGAGUCUCGGAGAGGAAGGCGGAAUGCUUGGUGUAGAGGUGAAAUUCGUAGAUAUCAAGCGGAACACCGGUGGCGAAGGCGGCCUUCUGGACGAUGACUGACGCUGAGACGCGAAAGCGUGGGGAGCGAACAGG
rnacentral:rRNA from 1 species